UUUUUCUCUGUUUUCUUUUUCAGAAUUGAUCUUGUCAGCAUCAUAAUUAUCUCCUUCAACCUCGUCUUGCUUCAUCUUUCCUUUCUUCUUCUCGUUAUGCUUUUCAGCAUCAUAAUCAUCUCCAUCAACUUCACUUUGCUUCAUCUUCCCUUUCCUCUUCUCGUUAUGCUUAGCCCCCUUAACAAUAUUUGAAGCUGUCCCAAUGUCACAAGGAUUUCGUUCGUUCUCUUCACAAGUACUUGCAUCAGUUGGCAUCUUAUUAAGAUCAAUGUCGAUCUUAUUUCGAUUUCCUUGCU
rnacentral:lncRNA from 1 species